AAAUUGAAGAGUUUGAUCAUGGCUCAGAUUGAACGCUGGCGGCAGGCCUAACACAUGCAAGUCGAACGGUAACAGGAAGCAGCUUGCUGCUUUGCUGACGAGUGGCGGACGGGUGAGUAAUGUCUGGGAAACUGCCUGAUGGAGGGGGAUAACUACUGGAAACGGUGGCUAAUACCGCAUAACGUCGCAAGACCAAAGAGGGGGACCUUCGGGCCUCUUGCCAUCAGAUGUGCCCAGAUGGGAUUAGCUUGUUGGUGAGGUAACGGCUCACCAAGGCGACGAUCCCUAGCUGGUCUGAGAGGAUGACCAGCCACACUGGAACUGAGACACGGUCCAGACUCCUACGGGAGGCAGCAGUGGGGAAUAUUGCACAAUGGGCGCAAGCCUGAUGCAGCCAUGCCGCGUGUAUGAAGAAGGCCUUCGGGUUGUAAAGUACUUUCAGCGGGGAGGAAGGUGUUGCGGUUAAUAACCGCAGCAAUUGACGUUACCCGCAGAAGAAGCACCGGCUAACUCCGUGCCAGCAGCCGCGGUAAUACGGAGGGUGCAAGCGUUAAUCGGAAUUACUGGGCGUAAAGCGCACGCAGGCGGUCUGUCAAGUCGGAUGUGAAAUCCCCGGGCUCAACCUGGGAACUGCAUUCGAAACUGGCAGGCUUGAGUCUUGUAGAGGGGGGUAGAAUUCCAGGUGUAGCGGUGAAAUGCGUAGAGAUCUGGAGGAAUACCGGUGGCGAAGGCGGCCCCCUGGACAAAGACUGACGCUCAGGUGCGAAAGCGUGGGGAGCAAACAGGAUUAGAUACCCUGGUAGUCCACGCCGUAAACGAUGUCUACUUGGAGGUUGUGCCCUUGAGGCGUGGCUUCCGGAGCUAACGCGUUAAGUAGACCGCCUGGGGAGUACGGCCGCAAGGUUAAAACUCAAAUGAAUUGACGGGGGCCCGCACAAGCGGUGGAGCAUGUGGUUUAAUUCGAUGCAACGCGAAGAACCUUACCUGGUCUUGACAUCCACGGAAGUUUUCAGAGAUGAGAAUGUGC
rnacentral:rRNA from 1 species